GGGCUCGUAGAUCAGCGGUUCGACGCGCUAUAGAUCGCCACAUUGGCAUUGUGGAGGCCGCGGGUUCAAAUCCCGCCGAGUCCA
rnacentral:tRNA from 1 species